rnacentral:rRNA from 1 species
UCGAGAAUCUUCCACAAUGGACGAAAGUCUGAUGGAGCGACGCCGCGUGAUCGAUGAAGUUCUUAGGAAUGUAAAGAUCUUUUAUGGGCAAGAAAAUUUUGAUCAGCCCAUGAAUAAGAGGUUGCUAAACUCGUGCCAGCAGCAGCGGUAAUACGAGUGCCUCAAGCGUUAUCCGGAAUUAUUGGGCGUAAAGGGUGUGUAGGCGGUUCUGUUAGUCGAAUGUUAAAGCUUCGGGCUUAACCUGAAAAAUGCAUUCGAAACGGCAGAACUAGAGUAUGCGAGGGGUUUGCGGAGCUCAUAGUGUAGGGGUGAAAUCCGUUGAUAUUAUGGGGAACACCAAAAGCGAAGGCAGCAAACUGGCGCAUUUACUGACGCUCAAACACGAAAGCGUGGGUAGCGAAUGGG